CGAGAGGCCCAAACGUUAUUCGGAAUUACUGGGCUUAAAGAGUUCGUAGGCGGCGCAGAAAGUAGGGUGUGAAAGCCCUCGGCUCAACCGAGGAAUUGCGCUCUAAACUACUGUGCUUGAGGAAGCUAGAGGUGAGCGGAACUGAUGGUGGAGCGGUGAAAUGCGUUGAUAUCAUCAGGAACACCGGAGGCGAAGGCGGCUCACUGGGGCUUUUCUGACGCUGAGGAACGAAAGCCAGGGGAGCGAACGGGAUUAGAUACCCCGGUAGUCCUGGCCGUAAACGAUGAGCACUGGACCGGAGGACUGCACAGUUUUCCGGUCGUAGCGAAAGUGUUAAGUGCUCCGCCUGGGGAGUAUGGUCGCAAGGCUG
rnacentral:rRNA from 1 species